GCAUUGCUGCACCUCCAGGGCUGGAGAGCUUCCUUGAUGCUCUGAGGACUGCAUUCCUUUUCAUCUCACUGGUUAGCCGGGAGUAGACAGAGGAGAAGGAGACUUCCUGCCGUAAGAGGCCGAAAACUGUAACUAAAUAUGCUGGGGACUAUUACCAUCACAGGUAAGACUGGUGACUCUUCUUCCUGCUGAUGUGACUCUGGAAGAAGAGUCUCAAGAGGUGAGCCGUGUGGCUGGAAUUUUAUUAGCUUUCAAUUAUCUCUCCCUACACUUUCACCGGUGUAGGGAGAGAUAAUUGAAUAUGGAGAGCAUUCCAUAGCCCCUCGGAAACCAAUGAACCGCACAUUUUAUUUUUAUUUAAACCAAAAUCUUCCUGGAAGCGCUCACGGGACAAUGCAUCUGGUUGGGAGCCUUAUCCGGUCCCCUUAGAGAAGUGGGGGCUGUGCUGUUGAGAGAAGCCACAGCAGCUAGCGAGUUGAAUCAGCAUCAGAUUCACUGUGGAUAACCUGCCCUAGUCUAAUUUUAAAAGUUCCUAUGUCUGAGAAAUUGUAAGCGUUCAGUGCUUCCUAGAGCUCAUUAAAUAAGAACGUUGAGUGAAGUCGUGUAUCAGGCUAAUAUUUUAGUUUAGUUCUGUCAUACGUGGUUAGUAUUAGCCAUAAUACUAAUACAUAAUACAUAGUUACUAAACCUAAGGGAAGAAAUGCCAUUUAAGUAUU
rnacentral:lncRNA from 1 species